GAAAGAUCACGACCUCCACUCCCUGUAUAUGUGAAGGAAUUCCCAUGAUCCUGAAAUGCAUAUGUAUUGUUUCAACAUGUUCACAAGAGACAAUAAAGCUGCUUAAUAUAUCCAGAUUCUUACAAGAGACUUAACAGCAGAAGAAGAGAGAGAUACUGCAUACCUCCAAGGCAAAAAAUCUGGAAAUACGUACAUUUGGUUUGGAUUUUAAGUCAUCAAAAAAGACCCGCACUUGAAAGGCCUGGACAAUGCAAAGUUAGCUGUGGAACACUCGAUACAAAGCCAGAAUUCUUUCCUUUUUGCACUUACAUAUCCAGUGACAUACACUUUUAAUAUUAACCAUUUCAGGUUUCACAUGUAAGAGCUGGAUCAUUCCCAUUUUUCUUUACAGUGGAAGAGACCAGGAUUCAGCUUCAUACCUGAACUCUGAACUUCCACAUGGUGCCAACUGGAAUACCAGGAAUUGGUCCGUAGUGGUUAGAGGGUACAAUGGUACAUUCCUUUGUGCGACCAACACAUGCCAUACCCUAUUUCAAAAGGGAGACCAGUUAGCCAAGAAUUACAAGAAACACACACCAACACUACUCUUCAAAAAUAAAACCUGACCUUGCCCCAGUCUCUCCGUGAUGAUGAA